GAUUUCACAAAUUAAGUCUACUUGGGCAAUGGGUGCUUUCAACCGUCUCCUACCUUUCCUCUUCCCUAACUAUUCUUUGUUGCUUAUACCGCUUCACAUUCCAACAUCGAUUUCUCAGCAAUUAAUUAUUUCCAUUUUUCAAUAAAACUUCACACCGUUUUCGGUUAAUCUUCAAUUUCAUCAUCAAUUUCUCUUAUCCCAAUCCAAUUCAUCUCAUCUUCAAUGUCAUCUUCUCCACUCAUAACUACACUUUUCCAUUCCCCUUCCCACAUUCUCUCUCUCUCUCUCUCUGAGUCCCAAUUUCUCUCUUCUCUCUUUUCAACAUAAAACCUAACACCGUCGUCAUUAGUGUUUUGAGUUUUGUUAGUGUCUGAAUGUUUAAUUUUGCGUUUUUCAGAUUUCAGGCGGAGUUACUGCUGCGGAGGGAUUUAUAGCUGCGGGAAUGUAUGGAGGAUUAUGUGAUGCAUGUUAGCUUUCUCAUCCUAAUGAUUAUCGUAAUUUUAAUUUUGUUUUUGGUAUGCGCUCUAAAAAACAAAUUUCUUUGAAGGUCAUUCACAACUAAUGUGGUUGUUGCGGCUCCGGCGUUAUACUGCAAAAGGAAGCUAGAAAUUUCUGACACUUUAAGCGACUUUUGUGUUCCUUGAUUACACUCUAAUUUGCUUGAUUUCUUGCUGAUUCGUCAAUUUUAUAAAAUUUUCUGGCACAUGUUGUGUUAACUAAAGCAGGUCAAGCCAAUGCCGCAACGGUAGGCCACAAAAUCUCUUUUUACCUCAUGUGCAUGUAUGAAUUGAAUAAUAAUCGGUGGAUAGUCUACUGAAGUGUAGUAUUACUAUAGAUAAUUCAGUUUGAUGAAUGUUUUACAACACCUUAGAUCAUUUAACAGGUUUUUGUGUGUUUGAGAAAUUAAAUAAAUAUUUUAGUGGUUUAAUCCUUUCAUCUAUCCAGGGCGAAGCAGGUUACCUGUAUACUAUACGAUAGAGUGUGUAGAAAGUCUUGCAAAGGUUUUGAAGGAAGGAAUUCAUUAUAGAUGAAGCUUGCAUCUUUGCUUAUAACACUGUAAUCAGAGACAACAACACCAACAAAAGCUCUAGGGACUUAAAAAACUUCACCAACAAAAGACUGUGGAACAUGACUGUCGAUUGUCAAAAAACUUCAUCAAAAAUUGGUGUCAACUUUAUGGUGUUUCUGAAGCGUGUGUGGUGGCUGUUGUCUCCGUGGAUCUUCGUCGGGCGAUGGUUAUGAAUCAUAAUACUAUUAUUCAUGACUGCUUACGUGGAUCAUAGAGAAUAGCGACAACAUCAUACUUUGUUUCCUUUUGAAUGAAUCUGAGUAUUCUUUUAAAUUGUGAACUGUUGGUGUUGUUGUGUUUCGUUCUCUGACAUUUUGAUGUUUGGUGUAUUGUUAAUGGUGGCUAGAGAAUUGGCUGUUGGAAGAUAGGUUAUUGUAAUGUUGUAUUUGUGGGUGAUUUGGGUGAAGGGUGUUAUUUUAUUGUAACAAAAAAAAUUGAUGGUUGAUGUUGGGGUGUUUGGCUUAGGUGCUUUGUGAAGAUAACAUGGUAACUGUACUACAAAGUUUUUGUGUAUGAAUUUUUUGGGUUCUUUUGUUUCU